GGAUGUGAGGGCAAUCUGGCUACAACAUCUGUCACCCCAUUGAUCGCCAGGGUUGAUUCGGCUGAUGUGGCUGGCUAGGCGGGUGUCUCCUUCCUCCCUCACCGCUCCAUGUGCAUCUCUCCCAAAGCUGCACACUCAGUCGAAGAGGACGACCAUCCCCGCUGGAGGAGGACCGGUCUUUGAUCAAGGGUAUACGAGUAGCUGCAUUCCCCUGCUAGAACCUCCAAACAAGCGCUCAGAAGAAAAUGAAAUUGAGCCAUCUGUCAGAGAGAAGUCUGCACCCCUAUGGGUGUUGCUGCACUG
ensembl:misc_RNA 7SK 7SK RNA